rnacentral:sRNA from 1 species
GUCCCGCCCCGCCCGCAGCUGGUGAGCCGUGGCUGCGAGACCCGCGAGCUCGCUCUGCCCCGUGACGGUCAAGGCCGCCUGGGCUUCGAGGUGGACGCCGAGGGCUUCGUCACGCACGUGGAGCGCUUCACGUUCGCCGAGACGGCGGGACUGCGGCCCGGGGCGCGCCUGCUGCGCGUGUGCGGCCAGACGCUGCCCAGCCUCCGGCCCGAGGCCGCUGCCCAGCUGCUGCGCUCGGCGCCCAAGGUCUGCGUCACCGUCCUGCCCCCCGACGAGAGCGGCCGGCCCCGCAGGCCUCUGGGAAAGCGCCUUCCCUUUCUGAGCCACCCCUGCUCUCCCCAGCUCCCUGUCGGAUGAGGCCCCAGUCCUGCCCACCACCACCCCGGACCUCCUCCUGGCCACCACAGCCAACCCAUCAGUACCCAGUGCUGACAGUGAGACACCCGUGACCCAGGACAGGCCAGGCAGUCCCAGUGGCUCUGAGGACAAGGGCAACCCGGCCCCGGAGCUGAGGGCCUCCUUUCUGCCACGUACCUUGUCUCUGCGGAACUCCAUCAGCAGGAUCAUGUCGGAGGCGGGCAGUGGGACCCUGGAGGACGAGUGGCAGGCCAUCUCGGAGAUUGCCUCCACUUGCAACACCAUUCUGGAGUCGCUGUCCCGAGAGGGACAGCCCAUCCCAGAGAGCGGAGACCCUAAGGGAACUCCAAAGUCUGAUGCUGAGCCAGAGCCUGGGAACCUCUCAGAGAAGGUCUCUCACUUGGAGUCCAUGCUCAGGAAGCUGCAGGAGGACCUGCAGAAG